CGGGCACACUUGGGACCGGGCUAUAGUGAACACCUGAUUGGCACAAACGUCAAAACAUUUUUUUUCCAAAAUGUAAGGCGUGAAUGGAACAUUGGGUGAAGGAGGGACGCGUGCCAGGCGUGCGUGAUGCCACCAAGGAAGCUUGCGUGGAAGCAGAAGGUUGGACUCUCUUUGUCGUUGUGCCUCCGGAGCGAGGAGGGGAGGCCCUUAUAUCGACAAAGCCGUCCCACCGCCACCAUGACGACCGGUCGCGAGGAAUGCGUGCGAGAACGCCCAAAGUCUUUGAGGAGGACUUUAUUUAUUUGGGGGGAUUUUGUUUUCUUCCCAUCAUUUGGACAUUCUGCCAGAAAAGUUGGGACAAUUUACACCCUUAAACCCAAACAAGUGAGGGAGGGAAAACUGUUUUACUGUCUUGCAUCAAACUGAAAACUGAACACUGUAGUUGUCGAGUUGCAGUGAAAACAUGCUGGCUAAAAAAUAUAGAUUAUACAAUGCAGAUAUACAGUAUUUAGAAAUAGGGUGUACCUUGUGAAUGUAUUCAUAAAAAUACUUAAGUUGUGGCACUGCGUGAAAAAUCAUAAAAGGUUCCACCCAAGCAACCUCUUGUGAACUGAAGCUGUUGAAAGACGUUGAUUUGAAGAGAACUGCAGUAAGUGUAUUCUUCGCAGUGCGAAGGUGGCACAGCCUUUAAUAUGAAGUGGGCUUACUUUGCUCCUGAAACUUAAAACAAAUCUUUUCACCCUCACAGGUGCAUCAGUAUCAGGCGUCAAAUUCAGAGUAGCAGCCAAUUUCAGAAUGUCAUUUAAGUGGCAAGUGGUCAUCAGGGCGACCUCCAGUGGACAAAAAUAGCAACAACAGUUACUUUUGUGGAAAAUUUGGAGCGCUCGUCGUGUUCUCUCUCCCCACGGGCCCGGAUGAGACCCCCCGACCGUCCGGUUCUGGCCCGCGGGCUUUACGUUUGACACGCCCGGUCUGAAAUUGUGAAUCGGUCGUUGGCCUCCACGUGCGAUCGGCUGGCCAACUCUCCGGCUGGGAAAGUUGACCCAAAUGAGGAAGAGUGGUCCGGAAAAUAAAUGGCGGGAUGGAAGGACGAUUCUGAACAAAUAACUGUCUGUCAAGCAUCCCUGUUUUUCCGAUUCCCCUUUGGGCUACACAAAUGGAGGAUUCCGUUUCCUCGUUCAGGAUGUUGGUGUCAUCAUGUGGGGAUUCCCUUUGGUCCAUCUGCCAGUAGAGGUUGCGCCUUUGACCUCCCUCCUCGGAUCCUUCUUGGGAGGGCGCACAUGGAAAAGCCCGUCAUAUCCUCAGGGAUCUGGACCGCUUCCAUAAAUAGGUACGCCGUUCGGAAAGUUCCGGGCGGUCGGCAGCUUGGAUCGGUGGGAGGCCGACGCGGAGGUCAUCGCGUCUGCUCAGAGGUCGCGUUGCGGUUUGGCCCCCGCUGAGACAGAAGGAUAUAUUUACACGUGACCAAUGCUCGUCGACACAUCCGGCGAUUCCCAUGCGUUCGCGUGCCGUGAGAGUUCAUCGGGACAAUUGUGUCUCCGCCUGUUGCCAUACAACUUUGUGUUCAACCAAACAGACUCAGGUUGCACACUAACUAAGGGAAUUUGUGAGCUAAGGCCUUUUUUUGCACGCACAGUUUAGCGUACAGUACAUUGGGACAGUAUGCGGAAGAGAGCGUUGCGGCUCAAACAGUUUGCCUGCGCCAGCGGAAGAAUGUUGAAGUUCACGGCGCGGCCGUGUUUGCAGACUGCGCCGCCUCAUCACUCGUCCGCUGGUCUUCCGGCUGCAAAUGAGGCUGCCAGCACCGCAAGACCUCUUCUGACUCCACUUUUACACGUGCGCAAUUCAAGUUCAGUAUUUCCGUCAAUAGAGGACGCCCAGACGACAACAUCAAGUCCUGAAGGUGUCGCGACCGUUUUUGGGUCUCAGGUGUACAAGAGAAGCAAACCUUUGGCCAUGUUCAUAGAGGG